rfam:Tistrella mobilis KA081020-065, complete genome.
GGGCCUGUAGCUCAGGUGGUUAGAGCACACGCCUGAUAAGCGUGAGGUCGGUGGUUCGAGUCCACCCGGGCCCA